GGUAAGGUGGCCGAGCAGGUAUUAGACUGUAAAUCUAAAGACAGAGGUUAAGCCCUCUUCUUACC
rnacentral:tRNA from 1 species